rfam:Populus trichocarpa scaffold_14_contig_118, whole genome shotgun sequence.
UAAUUUAUCUAUAAUAAAUUUUUAUUUAACUAUAAUAGAUUUACACUCACUAUUUAGAAUCAGCCAUCAAGAAAAGCUCGACUAAUAAUUGCAAGUCUAGUCGCCAACAAUGGAUGGACGGAUGGAUGAAUA